GUGUAUUUGUACUACAACCUGCUACGCGCAUCCACAGAUGGUGACUGCUGAUGUGUCAAUCGUUUGUAUACUUGUGAAAGUCGUGUAUAUAAAGUGCUUAAAAGAUGGAAAUGGAAGAAAGUGCAUUUAUUAACGAAAAAAGGGACGAAGAAAUAGCGAAAGAAAAUAAAAAAACAAAAGAGAAAAAGGAAUAAAAAUCGGAAAUAUCAAUUUGCAUGGCGUCAGCGUAGAAGAAAUUAAAAAAAAAAAGAUUCGAAGGAAGAAAAAGGAGAAGAAAAAAGAAAAAGACAUCGUGAAAAUCAAAGAGCAUAUUAUUUAUGUAAUAUAAAUUGUCAUGUUUGUCUACGAUAGCGCAAUAAAUGAAUAUUGUAUUUUACCACAUAAAUGAUAGUACUUUUAUACUGAUAAAUAAAACAAUUCGUGCGAAAUUAUUCCUUAACCAUUCCAACCUAUUCAAAAAUGCACAACGUUGAUGUUUAAGUUUUCACUUCUGCCGGCACUCCCGGAGUGCAACCCGUCCUUUUUUUUUUGUUUUUGUAUCACCGCUAUUGUGAAAUAUAAGAUUUUAUUUUA